CUGCAAUCAAAUGCCUACACUACUAUUUUUUUCCCUCUGUUAAUUUCUUACUUAAAAUGAUAUUGUGUAAACAAAUGUUAUUCAGUAUGCUAUGUGACUAUAAGCACGUACAGAUAAAUUGGUUAAAGUAAUGGAAUAUCAUUGAUAAGAAUUAUGUAAAGUAUGUAUUACGAGUUGUGUGUACAUAAAACUUGAAAAAACAAAAAAAA